ACUCUAUUUAUAAAUAUUUGACUGUACAUUUGAAAUAGAGUUAACAAUUUUGUAUUAUGAUGAGUAUAUACUUAUAUAUAUUAGAGUAUUUAUUUUACAAUUUUAAACGGACAGCUAUGCCCUAUAUAGUACUGUAGAAUAUAUGUAUGUUUAUGAUUUUGUCUCAUCGGUAUAGAAGUGGUGACCACAGCCGACAUCUCCGUUUACUUUUCAUGAUUUCAAUCAUUUCAGCUGAGUGGGCUGUCAUUUGCAUUUUUGUGUGUAUGUUGUUAAUAAUCAUGAUGUUUAUCUGUUAUUUGAUACCUCUCACCAACCCUGGGUAAUCGUAUUUAUGCACUUCCUUGGUUUACUACAACAACGUGUGCACUGUUAAUUGUAAUGUGGACAGGUGUGUUUUUGUGAGGCGAGGAUUGUAGUGUGAAUGAUGAUUGGAUGGGAUAAGAUUUUAUACAAUGGAAAUAACUAGAAAGUCUGUGAUUAAAGGUUGUUUUGUUUUU
rnacentral:sRNA from 1 species